AGAGUUUGAUCCUGGCUCAGGAUGAACGCUGGCGGCGUGCCUAAUACAUGCAAGUCGAGCGAACAGACAAGGAGCUUGCUCCUUUGACGUUAGCGGCGGACGGGUGAGUAACACGUGGGUAACCUACCUAUAAGACUGGGAUAACUUCGGGAAACCGGAGCUAAUACCGGAUAAUAUUUCAAACCGCAUGGUUCGAUAGUGAAAGAUGGUUUUGCUAUCACUUAUAGAUGGACCCGCGCCGUAUUAGCUAGUUGGUAAGGUAACGGCUUACCAAGGCGACGAUACGUAGCCGACCUGAGAGGGUGAUCGGCCACACUGGAACUGAGACACGGUCCAGACUCCUACGGGAGGCAGCAGUAGGGAAUCUUCCGCAAUGGGCGAAAGCCUGACGGAGCAACGCCGCGUGAGUGAUGAAGGUCUUCGGAUCGUAAAACUCUGUUAUUAGGGAAGAACAUACGUGUAAGUAACUAUGCACGUCUUGACGGUACCUAAUCAGAAAGCCACGGCUAACUACGUGCCAGCAGCCGCGGUAAUACGUAGGUGGCAAGCGUUAUCCGGAAUUAUUGGGCGUAAAGCGCGCGUAGGCGGUUUUUUAAGUCUGAUGUGAAAGCCCACGGCUCAACCGUGGAGGGUCAUUGGAAACUGGAAAACUUGAGUGCAGAAGAGGAAAGUGGAAUUCCAUGUGUAGCGGUGAAAUGCGCAGAGAUAUGGAGGAACACCAGUGGCGAAGGCGACUUUCUGGUCUGUAACUGACGCUGAUGUGCGAAAGCGUGGGGAUCAAACAGGAUUAGAUACCCUGGUAGUCCACGCCGUAAACGAUGAGUGCUAAGUGUUAGGGGGUUUCCGCCCCUUAGUGCUGCAGCUAACGCAUUAAGCACUCCGCCUGGGGAGUACGACCGCAAGGUUGAAACUCAAAGGAAUUGACGGGGACCCGCACAAGCGGUGGAGCAUGUGGUUUAAUUCGAAGCAACGCGAAGAACCUUACCAAAUCUUGACAUCCUUUGACAACUCUAGAGAUAGAGCUUUCCCCUUCGGGGGACAAAGUGACAGGUGGUGCAUGGUUGUCGUCAGCUCGUGUCGUGAGAUGUUGGGUUAAGUCCCGCAACGAGCGCAACCCUUAAGCUUAGUUGCCAUCAUUAAGUUGGGCACUCUAAGUUGACUGCCGGUGACAAACCGGAGGAAGGUGGGGAUGACGUCAAAUCAUCAUGCCCCUUAUGAUUUGGGCUACACACGUGCUACAAUGGACAAUACAAAGGGCAGCGAAACCGCGAGGUCAAGCAAAUCCCAUAAAGUUGUUCUCAGUUCGGAUUGUAGUCUGCAACUCGACUACAUGAAGCUGGAAUCGCUAGUAAUCGUAGAUCAGCAUGCUACGGUGAAUACGUUCCCGGGUCUUGUACACACCGCCCGUCACACCACGAGAGUUUGUAACACCCGAAGCCGGUGGAGUAACCAUUUGGAGCUAGCCGUCGAAGGUGGGACAAAUGAUUGGGGUGAAGUCGUAACAAGGUAGCCGUAUCGGAAGGUGCGGCUGGAUCACCU
rnacentral:rRNA from 1 species